rnacentral:rRNA from 1 species
UACGUAAGUGGCAAGCGUUGUCCGGAUUUACUGGGCGUAAAGGGCGUGCAGGCGGUUUGUUAAGUUCAGGGUGAAAGCUCCCGGCUCAACUGGGAGAGGUCCUUGGAUACUGGCAGACUUGAGGAGGGUAGAGGAGAGUGGAAUUCCUGGUGUAGCGGUGAAAUGCGCAGAUAUCAGGAAGAACACCCGUGGCGAAAGCGGCUCUCUGGGACGGUACUGACGCUGAGACGCGAAAGCGUGGGGAGCGAACAGG